GGUUUCGUGGUUCAACUGGUGGAACGCUUGUCGCGUUUAGGCACGCUGUUUCUGUCGUUGGUUCAAAUCCAACCAAAACCA
rnacentral:tRNA from 1 species